ACCAGCUCGCUUCCUUUUCAACCAAGCCCGUCGGCCUCUCCUCCUCCCUCGGUCAACCACGCCUCCCCUCCUUCCUCCGCGUCAACUGACGUGUCACUGCCCGUCGUUGUUCACCGACCACCAUCGCCGUCUAACACACACACUAUGCUCACGCGUGCUAAACGUGGGCUCUUCCAACCCAUUGAUCAUCUCAACCUCACAGCGUCCCACUCCACUCCCUCUCCCAUUUCCAAAACAUACCGGGGUGCUCUUCAUGAUCCCCACUGGCGUCGUGCUAUGCUUGAGGAAUUUGAUGCUCUUGUUGCUAACCGGACGUGGUCACUUGUUCCACGCCCUCCUCGUGCUCAUGUUGUUUCAGGGAAAUGGAUCUUCAAGCACAAGUUUCACUCUGACGGUAGCCUUGCUCUCUACAAGGCUCGAUGGGUUGUCCGUGGGUACUCUCAGCAGCCGGGCAUCGACUACGAUGAGACAUUCAGCCCGGUUGUCAAGCCGGCCACGAUCCGUAUCGUCCUCAGCCUCGCUGUGUCC
rnacentral:rRNA from 1 species